UAUGUGUGGAGAUAUAAAAUGUCUGGCCUGCCCACUGAUAGUUUAUAAAGGGCCGCGGUAAUCUGCCCGUGCAAAGGUAGCAUAUCCGUUAUUUUUUUAAUUGGAAUCUUGUAUGACUGGCUGACCAAGAAAAUGUCGGUCUCUGACUAUUGUUGUGAAUUUGACUUUUAUGUGAAAGGGCUUAAAUGUUUUAAAAAGACGAUAAGACCGUGUAGAGCUUAAUAGAUUAUAUUAUGGAAUUAAAUUGGUGUAUAAAAAUUCGGUGAAGAAAUUCUAUUUUGUUGGGGCGACAAUGAUAAAAUGUUCUUUAACUGUUUAUAUUGAAAGACAAAUAUAAGGGAUUGAAAAAUGUAAAUGAUCCUUAGUUUAAGAUUAAAAGUUUAAGUUACUUCAGGGAUAACAGCGUUAUUUUUUUUGAGAGUUCAUAUCGAAAGAAGAUUUUGCGACCUCGAUGUUGAAUUAAAAUUUCUAUAUAAUUGCAGAAGUUAUAUUAAAGGGUCUGUUCGACCUUUAAAUUUUU
rnacentral:rRNA from 1 species